rnacentral:rRNA from 1 species
AUUGAACGCUGGCGGCAUGCUUUACACAUGCAAGUCGAACGGUAACAGGCCGCAAGGUGCUGACGAGUGGCGAACGGGUGAGUAAUGCAUCGGAACGUGCCCAGUCGUGGGGGAUAACGCAGCGAAAGCUGCGCUAAUACCGCAUACGAUCUAUGGAUGAAAGCGGGGGACCGUAAGGCCCCGCGCGAUUGGACCGGCCGAUGUCAGAUUAGGUAGUUGGUGGGGUAAAGGCUCACCAAGCCAACGAUCUGUAGCUGGUCUGAGAGGACGACCAGCCACACUGGGACUGAGACACGGCCCAGACUCCUACGGGAGGCAGCAGUGGGGAAUUUUGGACAAUGGGCGCAAGCCUGAUCCAGCAAUGCCGCGUGCAGGAAGAAGGCCUUCGGGUUGUAAACUGCUUUUGUACGGAACGAAACGGUCCUGGUUAAUACCUGGGGCUAAUGACGGUACCGUAAGAAUAAGCACCGGCUAACUACGUGCCAGCAGCCGCCGUAAUAC